rnacentral:rRNA from 1 species
UACGUAGGUGGCGAGCGUUAUCCGGAUUUACUGGGUAUAAAGGGCGUGUAGGCGGCUCUGCAAGUCAGAUGUGAAAUUUCCGGGCUUAACCCGGACGGGUCAUCUGAAACUGCAGGACUUGAGUACUGGAGAGGAUAGCGGAAUUCCUAGUGUAGCGGUAAAAUGCGUAGAUAUUAGGAGGAACACCGGUGGCGAAGGCGGCAAUCUGGACAGUAACUGACGCUGAGGCGCGAAAGCGUGGGGAGCAAACAGGAUUAGAUACCCUGGUAGU